ensembl:lncRNA
CACACCUAGAAGCUGCUGGUAAUCAGCUCACCUCUGUGCAACUGAUUCCUUUACAGCUGACGAAAUCCCUCACUUCUGGGAAAAGGAGUGUAACCUGGAACAUUAAGGGAGACAUGGAGCAAACAUGAGGAGACAGGCUGAGGAGACAAGGAUGAAACACAAGGAGAGGAACAAAGGAACAGAUUGAGCUUAACCUUGUGAUCAAGGGCAAACCGUCAAAUACGUUUGCUAGCGCUGCGCACGAAGAACCAGAAUCGAUGGACUGGACUGCUUACGGUGAACAACCAGUUCCUGGCCGUGCUGCUGGACCAUCUGUCUCCUCCAUGGAUGACGACGUCACCCCAAUGGAGAUAGACUAAAAGGUUCAGCAUACCAAAAGUGAAAGAAGAGGAUGACAAUCAUAACAUUUCUGCUUGGGCAAUUACAGUUGAUCCUGCAACAAUUUGGUUUUUGUUUUUUUUUUUAGAUAAUUUUGUAAAUUUCAUUUCUCAAACCCUAAGCUGCUGUAAUCAAGUGUUACUAUAAAAGCAAGUAGAAGUCAAUUUUUUUUAAUGCAGCAGCUAAUUUCUUCCUGUUGGCUUUAAAGCGGGUUGACGGACCUUUUUUCACAAGAAUAUAUCUUGAAAAGUACUUGAUAUAUGAAACUAAAAUUACAUAGUACAUAUUACAUAUACAUAUUACAUACAUAUAAAAUUACAUAGUACAUAUUACAUAUUUUGUACAAAUUUUAAAGACAUUACACAGAUUUGGGACCAAUCAGGAAAAAUAAUCUCUAACCCAGCUCAAAUUAAUUAUGUUUUUUAUGCUAUUUUAUAAACCCCUUUAUAAAUCUGAAUCACAGUAGUAAAACUCAAAUAAAAUACUUUUCUUUUGGGAACUUAAGCUUACCAAGGGUAGGCCAAUGGUAAUAAAAAAUUAGAUGCUCCAAUAUAUAUGUCCAAACUGAACCAUAAUAUGUCUAUUGCAAAUUGGAGAAUGUUCUAGAAAUUUAAAUAGAUUAUUAUUUUUAUUCUAAUUUGAGUACAGUUUUUGAGAUGUUCAUUUUCAAGCAUUGCCAUAUAUAGCAUCUGAUAUGCAUUUUUUCCCCUUUUUUUGUGACAAGUAUUCUAUAUGGUUUAUUUUUUGGUAUUGUAAAAUUCAACUACAUAUCAUUCAGAAAUUAAAUUGCUG